CUUGAUUAUGAUUGGUGAGGAAUUAUUUAUUAAAGAAGUGUGAAUUAAACCCUGUUGCACGGUGUAGCUAGAAGCAUUUUGGACUUGUAGUUUUCAUUCCUGUUGUAUUAUACAACAGGAUAAUAUAUAUAAUAUAUAUAUAUAUAUAUAUAUAUAUAUAUAUAUAUCGGUCACAGCUAAAGCAGUCUUGAACACUACUACUGAGUAAAGGAACAACAGCACACUGCACAAGUGGAGCAGCGAUGGAAUACUGUGACUAGGAAGUAAAGUGAGCUGCUGUGUAAAGAAGCAUUAGUGUUUAUUGAGUAAAAGAGGUAUAGUGCACCACCAAACUAAAUAGUGCCUUUGAGAGAAAUGAGCAGAUUAUGAAGAAAAGGUAUUUCCACACCUGUCCGUGGAUUCCAAUUCAAACCUGAAUUUUAUCACCUCAAUAUUUCACUUAUUUUAAAUGUUUGAAAACCUCAUCUUGGAUUUCUUUAUAUCAGAUCGAGUUUGUCAUAAACCUACCCUAGUAAGUGCACUACAAAAAAAAUAAUAAUAAAACUACUGAGUGACUUUGCCUCAAAUAUGCAAAUAGACCAAACUAUAACGCGAGGAAAGUGUUUACACCACGCGCCUGUAAUUUAAAUACAAGUAAAUAAAAUGUCUGCUAAUUCACAUAAACAAAUCGUGAAUCCUUCAGACAGACCAAACCACAGUUAGGAAACUUUAUCACCGCACAACACAUCAAUCUUACUUCUACAAUUCAUUUCUGUAUCCAGCGACGGAUUAUACUACAUGCGCCGACUCGGUGAGUGACGGAUCGCGCUGGCCAUUCGGUAAACUGGAUCGGUGAGCUCCAACCAAUAGCGAAGCUUCAUAUCUGUUUAGGAACCGCCUGUCAGUUUCCGGGCUCUGCUGCUGCCCCGAGUGUUUGGCUAGGCCUUAAUAAAACACACCGAAGAAGAAAAUCUUGCGUCAAAUGUACUCACUUACCAAGCAAACAACAAGUACAGUAUCCAUGCAUUUCUUGUUCCGCCUGCGGAAGAAGAGAAAACUCUACCUGCAUGUUUAUUCCGCUUUGGAAAGCGCUGUUAGCUGUGCUAAGCGUGUUGCUUAAGCACCGCGAUUAGCCAGUCUGCUUGUAGGCUGGCAAAUAAACCACAAUAAAGCGCUUGAAGAAAUAAACGGACUGCUUUACCUGUUUUCAUCUCCGCUCUCGUCUAUUCGAGUCAUUCUCCCCCAGUUCAAAGAAAUGCCCAUUGUGCCUCGUACCAGGAAAUCGGGCGCUUCUUACCCGCUGAAGUGAAGAGUUCUGAAACUCAGUAUGGAAAGCCCUAAGGGGCAAAACUCAGCCAAGCGCCAAACCAGGUGGAGAUCCGAGCGCCACGCCCACCUCUCACCUCAUCAGUACUAGCACUAACACCCUGUCCAGACAGGAUUAGAUGUACAGGGGUCCAUGGGGUAAUUUCCUAUUUUACAUGUGCUCUUUGGGGAUUUUAUUUCCGUCUGGAUCGGCCCUGUCU
ensembl:lncRNA